rnacentral:rRNA from 1 species
UGCAGUCGAACGAGAAAGGGGUAGCAAUACCCCCGGUACAGUGGCGAACGGGUGAGUAACACGUGGGUAACCUGCCCUCGAGCUCGGAAUAACCCGCCGAAAGGCGGGCUAAUACCGGAUAAAGUUGCUGGUUCUUCGGGACUGGUAACCAAAGAUGGCCAAUGCUUGCAAGCUAUCACUUGAGGAGGGGCCCGCGGCCCAUUAGCUAGUUGGCGGGGUAAUGGCCCACCAAGGCAACGAUGGGUAGCCGGCCUGAGAGGGCGAUCGGCCACAUUGGAACUGAGACACGGUCCAGACUCCUACGGGAGGCAGCAGUGAGGAAUCUUGCGCAAUGGGCGAAAGCCUGACGCAGCAACGCCGCGUGGGUGAUGAAGGCCUUCGGGUCGUAAAGCCCUGUCAGGUGGGAAGAAUCGGGUGGGGGCUAAUACCUCCCGCCCCUGACUGUACCACCAGAGGAAGCCCCGGCUAACUCCGUGCCAGCAGCCGCGGUAAUACGGAGGGGGCCAGCGUUGUUCGGAAUUAUUGGGCGUAAAGGGCGCGUAGGCGGUCGAGUAAGUCUGACGUGAAAUCCCUUGGCUCAACCAAGGAACUGCGUCUUAAACUGCUCGGCUUGAGUCCGGGAGAGGGUAGUGGAAUUCCCAGUGUAGCGGUGAAAUGCGUAGAUAUUGGGAGGAACACCGGUGGCGAAGGCGGCUACCUGGACCGGUACUGAC